UUGUGAUGCUCUCAUGUGUAGGAUUUCGUGAUGCCUUGGCAUCGGUGGUCAUAUGUUUCCAAUUAUGUUACGAUACAUAUACAUCCUAACAUUUUCUGCAUUGAUACGUAUACAAAUACAAGCAGAGCAGCAGAUCAGAACAGGCAAAGUGGACUUAUGUUCUUGUUCCUCGGUAAGUUGUAUAUUUCUGGUGUAUUUUGUUUACUUUACUUCACCAUAUUGGUUCACACGUAUUUAGGCGGUUCUGUAAUUCUGUUUGCAGGCUAUAUGUUUUGAUUUGUCAGCUGUUCUCUUUUAAAAAUACCAUUGGUGCUUGAUUACCUUGUAGUGCAUGCAUCUUCUAAUAAUCUCUAAAUUAGCCUUUCCAAAAAAUCAUGGAGGCGAAAUGAUUUUGCUACUUGCAGGGUUAGCUAUUAAACUUUCCAUCUGAAUUUUGUUUAGCCAUGCUUUCAUGGCUUUAUCUAAUCUAACAAAUGUAUAUGUGUGGUGAUUUCUUUAAAAGAGGCUAUUGAUGUGCUGCCUAUUUUUUUAAAAAAACAUUAUUUCUAUCAAAAUACACAUCUAGAGAUUGUUUUUAAGGAGAAUUCCAUGUUUCUUGCAGGUUAAAUCUGAUUUAUGCGGCCAGCUGAAAUAGUAGUAUAAUCAGCUUCAAAAGUAGUAGUAGUAGUCGUCGUCACCGCCAUCGUGGCUAUUCUUGCUGUUUAGCAAAUUUCAGUAGCCGCUAGAAACUACUGAAAGCAUGCGGCUGGGCUGUUUGGUUCGCUGGGCUGGACGUAGCUGGGGCUGGGGCUGGCGCUGGGCUUGCUGGAAAGCAUGCGGCUGCGGCUGGCCCCAGCAUCUCCAGCCUAGCAUGUCCAGCCUAGCCGAACGGCGCCUAUAUUUUCUGGAACAAAAAAGGGGACAAAUACCUUCAUCAAACAUGUUGGUGUAGAGUUCUUUACUUAUAUUUUCAGAAAAAAGAAAUGUUAUAGUCCAAAAUACGUUUUCCCUAAUCAGGUGAUUAUCAAAAGAGAUUAAGUAGCACGGGUUACUUAAUUUGAAGAAUAUCCAGGCGAGUAGCUACCAUAGUACUUCGAGAAGAUGAGAAUGAAAUCAGCUGAGAACACUGCAGAGUGCUGCACAUGGAGAGUGGUUGACGCAUUUUGGAGGGGAUGCUGUUCCAAUUCCCAAUGUGAAAUUUCAAACAAUAAGCACUUGAAUCCUUAUGCAGUUUACAUCUGCUCUUCGAUUGAAGAAGUUGGGUGAUACAGAGAUCCAAUUCGUAGCAUAAAGAACUGCAUAAGAAUCUUCAUGAUAAAAGCUUUUAUGUUUGGUGAUUUGGAUUCAGAAGCAUACAUAAUGUUGCAACAUUUAAGGCAGAUAUAUCUGCAUUCACCACCACCAUUGCCUAGACUGGAAGGAGGCACACCGAAACCACAUGACCAGCGAUCAAGUUGAAUGUGGCGACCACCAUGAUCUUGCGCAUCCUAAGGCAUCUGUCCUUUCUAUGUUUCCACAUUAGAAGUUGGUGCAUGGAAAUGGUUUCAGCUUUUGUAACUUAAUCGAAUAGUCUAUAAUUUUUAAUAUUUCAGGAUCGUAGUAUUGUAUAUAUGCCUGAUUGGGUUCAUUUGUGUCCGCUUCGCGUCUCCUUUAGCAGUGGUUGUAAUUGACCAUGGUGCUUAACUUAUUUUCAAUCAUUUUCAGAGUUUAUUAUAUAUGC